GAGAGAGAUUCCAGCAGCAGGAAUAUAGCAGAAAGGCAUUGAAUUUCGCAUCCCCUUCAGCACUCUGUCAUUAUACGGCUGACUUUACUGACUGCCCAUUGGACAUUGAUAUUUAAGGAUGGCUGACAAUAACACGGAUUCUCAGAGGGCUGUCAGAAAUUAUUAUAUUAAUCACGGCUUUCAGAGAGACAAUCCCAGUGCUCCUGUGGAUAAUCAAGCAAGAAAUGUAUACACAGAAUUUCCUCCUACAAAUACUACAAACCCGGCACCCCAGGAUGCUGCAAGAAUCAAUACACAAUUGUCUCAUCUACCUCCCUGUUAUAAGUCACCAUCAUCAAGUCCCCAUCAACCUACCUCACAUAAGUCACCAUCAUCAA